rnacentral:rRNA from 1 species
CAGCAGCCGCGGUAAUACAGAGGGUGCAAGCGUUAAUCGGAAUUACUGGGCGUAAAGCGCACGUAGGCGGCGUGAUAAGUUGGAUGUGAAAUCCCCGGGCUUAACUUGGGAAUUGCAUUCAAGACUGUCGCGCUAGAGUAUGGGAGAGAGAAGUGGAAUUCCAGGUGUAGCGGUGAAAUGCGUAGAUAUCUGGAGGAACAUCAGUGGCGAAGGCGGCUUCUUGGCCCAAUACUGACGCUGAGGUGCGAAAGCGUGGGGAUCAAACAGGAUUAGAUACCCUGGUAGUCCACGCUGUAAACGAUGAGAACUAGACGUUGGAAGGAUCUGCCUUUCAGUGUCGCAGCUAACGCG